UGUAUUUGUUAUGUCUUAGAUAUGGAAGGACAGGAAUCAAGAAGUCAGAAGCCUAACAUGACUUGGACCCUAGAAAUGAAUAAUUGUCUUGAGGCACUUGUCCAGCAAGUACAUCUUGGGAACAAAGUUGAUAAGAGUUUCAAGGGCCCUGCUUAUAAAGCUGCAAGUAGGGCAGUUGGUUAUAAAUUUGGGGUCGAUUGUAGUGUUGAUCAUAUUAAGAAUCGCUUGAAGACUAUAAAAAAAAUUGCCAAAUUAAAAGCUAUUCUUAAUCAAAGUGGCUUUAGUUGGAAUAAUCAAACACAUACAAUAGAUGCUGAACCUGAAGUCUGGAAUUCCUAUGUUGAGGCGAGACAAUAAUAUCGUAGGAAAAAAAUUGAUAACUACGAUGAUUUGGCACUUGUUUGUGGAAAUGAUCAAGUUACCGAGAGUGAAGCUUUUACUGUAAAGGAAUUGAAUAGACGCGAAGCAACUUCAGCCUCUAUGACUCAUGGUACUGAUAGUCAGGUUCCCACACCCUCAGAUGACAUUGAUGAUGAAAUUGGCGAUUCCUCACUACGAGCAGGAGCAAUAGAUCCACCAUCGUCAUCGAAAGGAUAAGGGAAAAGGAAACUAGAUAUUGAAGACAAACUUGGAGAGGUUGUAGAAAAUUUGGGAAAACUCGCAAAGGCUGUUGAACAUGGAUCUAGCUUGUUUUAUAGAGAUAUUCUCUUUCGAUAUGUUAUGAGUUUGGAGGGAAUAUUUACAUCAUUUUUGUUGAAGGCAUUUGAUUUUUUAUCGGAAGACUGGUUUCAUGCCUUGACAUUUUAUGUGAUUAUGCCAUAACUGAGGAAGGAUUGGCUAAUCAUGAAGCUAGGAGGCCCGUUUUGAUGUUAGCAUUCUAUAAUUGAUAUGGGCCUAUGAGUUUACCAACCUUUUACCUUAUAGUUUGACAUGAUAAUUUUGGUAAUUUUUUUAAUGGUCUGAACUAUGUUUUAUGGGCAUUUUGUUUGAUUGACUAGACAUGACAAUUUUGCUAUA